rnacentral:rRNA from 1 species
CGUAGGUGGCAAGCGUUGUCCGGAUUUAUUGGGUUUAAAGGGUGCGUAGGCGGUGUCCUAAGUCAGUUGUGAAAUACGGCAGCUUAACUGUCGAGGUGCAAUUGAUACUGGGACACUUGAGUACUGAUGAGGUAAGCGGAAUGGACGGUGUAGCGGUGAAAUGCUUAGAUAUCGUCCAGAACACCGAUAGCGAAGGCAGCUUACUAAGGAGUAACUGACGCUGAGGCACGAAAGUGUGGGGAUCAAACAGGAUUAGAUACCCUGGUAGUCCACACUGUAAACGAUGAUCACUCGAUGUUGGCGAUACACAGCCAGCGUCUUAGCAAAAGCGAUAAGUGAUCCACCUGGGGAUACGCCGGCAACGGUG